AGUGACAUAUAAUGAAUCACAUUAACAGAUCUUACUGCAGAUAAGAAGCAUUUAUUAACUGACAAUAGAACUGAAAAUAAUUUAAAACCAGGUUCACAAUGACAUUAGUCUCAGGGUUAUGAUAGCGGUCUUGGACAGUAAGCAAUGUGUUUAUGCAUGUAAACAGAAUAGAAUAGAAUGUGAAUGUGUGAAUGUGAAUUUUGAAAAAACAUCUCAAAUGUCGCCAAAAAUUGUUGGUUUUUCAGAGCAUUCAACAAAGCAAUAUUUGGCAACAUUGAAAUGGAAACACCUUUUUUUGGGAUUAAGUCACAUGACAUGACACAUGAUAUCCAGAUAUUCUCGGUUGGAACUGGCUUUCCGGGGCAUGACACGGCAGACGCCAUGUUGCGUUCCAUAACAGAUCCACAGGACUUUGGUAAAAUGGUAUGAUUGUAUGACCUCAGAGAAAUCUGUGGUACGUGGUUACUGUCAGGUAUAAGAGGUUUGGAAUUCCAUCAUCCAGAUGCACGUAAUGAUGGAAUUCAUGCAUCGUCUAUGAUGAAAUACCACAAUGGCUCUGUGGUGGAUGCAGUUGAAAUCACCGUCCUAACACUCAUCAGAUGCUGGAAAAUCCCUCACCAUGUUUAUCGGGAAAUGAUUUAUUCUCAUAACAUCACUCAGAGGAAACACAGAACAUUCCCCGUUGCGUUUUGUCGACUUUUCGUGAAAUAAAAAAUAAAAAAAAUGCUUCUAUGUUGCGUAAAACCAUUUUCAUUAACUCCAGUAACAGUAUGAGUACUCAAUCAGUUAAGCAAAGAAACAAGAUAAAUGAUGUUAUACUGCUCUCAUCUUAGGUAGCAUGAAACAUUAAAGGGGACAUAUUAUGCUCCUUUUCAACAAGUUUGAAUAAGUCUCAGAGGUCCCCAAAGCAUGUCUUUGAAGCUUCUUGCUAAAAAAUCCACUCCGAUCCUAUAUUUCAGCAUGCCUGUAAACCCCUCUUUUUCAGCCUUGUUCAGAACAGGCUGUUUCUGUGUCUGUAGCUUUAAAUGCAAAUGAGCUGUGCCUGACCACGCCCCUCUUCGGAAGGGGCUGCCGUUCGGGCUUCUGGCACCAUGCUCUGAUGUUUACGGUGACCGUGACCGGCGACCUGGCGUCGGUAGCGAUUUGGUUCAACCACACGACUUUUAUCCAGAAUCUGAGCCAGAGGGAGAGGCUGCUGAAGAAGUUCAAACUCUACAACUGCAGCAGGACGUUUCUGAAUGGUGCACCUGUGGAAACUGUGCAACCAUGCCCACAGAAGCUGAGAACAUCUGCUGCUAGGAGAUACCACAGGUCACCAGACGGCUAUGGGAGAUCGAGGAAGAUUUACCAUGUAUGGUAGACCGUCCUGGGUUGGAGCCGCUCUGCCUCAAUGUGUUCUGCCUGCAACAUGUACCGCACUGACUACGGUCCUUUACGGUUGAGAGGAAUACACCAAUACGUUUUGCUUCUUUGUUAAAACAUAGUUUCAAUCUAAAUAAAAGAUGUUAGGCAGUCUUGUUUUACUUCAGUGCACAUAAUUUUACAAUGGUAAUAACACACCACAAAUAGAGUAACACACCCUCAAAUUAAUUAGUUUAGCUGCUCUUUGAUUUGUAAAGUUCUUCUAUCAGCAGAUAGUG